CUGUCCUGUUCGUACGCGUGGCAGACUUGGUUAAUCUUACUCACCGGCAAAAUACAAACGUUCGGACUAUACUUUUGACUUCAGAUUAUAAUCAAACAACCAUCAUGCUAUGUGUACGUUAAUAUUAUAUUAAAUAGGUGUUAGUUAAAUGUAUGUUGCCUUACCAACAUUUUAUGCAUCAUCAUAUUAUCAUAAACCCAUUCUUUCUUUUUUUUUCUUUUUUUUUUUUUUAGUGCUUAUACUUUUUUUUUUAUCAAUAUGUUACCAGUUUGUCUAGUUAUUCAAAGAGGUGCAUCGCCCUGAAAUGGGAAGAAGGUUAUGCACAGCCGUAAAAUGAGGGGCAAGGAAGCAUAACUUACCUUCAACCACAUAAUUCCGAACAAAUUUCCGUAUGCCACUUUUCUCAUACUCUGCCACCUAAUCUAAUGAUGUGACUAAGGUGAAUCCACUGAUCUUUGCCUAGGUGAACCAUGGUCUGAAGGCCAAAAGAACAAAAAUUGUAAGCAUUAACACUGAUGCAGCAAUUACUGAAUCUACAGAUUUACAUUUUCGUUUUCUUUUCAUCCAUUACCACUCAACUGGUUGUCUGUCUGCCUUCACUGAGACAAGUAACAAUUAUACGUUUUAUUCUGCUUCCCAUGAUAGUGUUAUUGCCAUUUACUUAUUUUUGAGAUAUCUACACACUAUCAAGGAGAAACUGGAGUUACACAAAUUGCGGAAUACUACAGCCAGUCCUUCAUCCACACCUUUCUACUUUGGUUCCAUGCUUUCAUGGGCAAGGAUAAUAACAAUGCAUGUAGCCUCCCUACUCAUCUGGACUGGAUGAAGCACAUGCAACUGAUGAUUGCACUAUCCCAUUACUAGUGUGUGGCCAAAACCAAUGACUGAACUUUGUGCAACCACCAUGUUGCACAAUUAUGACUGCUAGUGUAUGAAGAUCUUAAUGGAUGUUUCAGUGUUUCAUGGGAAUGUUACCUGCAUGUCGAUCGCUGGGUCAUUUGCUGCUGCUGGGAAAGGAUGACCACCACACCAAUUAUAAAAAGAUAAUUGUCUUCAACUUUUUUUUGGCAAGGAAGUAAUGCUAAUACUGUAAACUGCAAUACAGAAUUGAAUUGCAAUACAAA